rnacentral:lncRNA from 1 species
CUGAGACUUAGAUUACGAAAGGAUGUGGAUUACCUCCAUCCAAGUCCCAACCCUGGAGACACUCAAGGGGGUAUUUAUCGAACGCUUUGCAUAAGCAGCUUUGGAGCAGAACAACACAAGGGAAGCACGGGCAGAAAACACCGGUGACUAACGUUCAGCACCAGUGGGUUCUCCCGGUCCAGCCCACCCUCCAGCAGCCAUCUCCUCCUGCUGCAGUGCCACCGCCAUUCUGAGACACCACGGGGGGAACUGGAGGCCUCAUCCCUCUGCCCCAGCGCAGUGCACGGAGACAAAGGUGGCAGUGAGGGUGAGGGAGUGCAAUCUGCUUCUGGCUUCACUCCCAGCUGCAGAAAAAGUGCUCUGUCUAUGCUACACGCGGUGCACCACGAGUCCCAAGAUGGAGCCGAACACAAAC